CAGGUUGGCUAUAUACUUUUUCAUUUGUUAUUAGACACUUUAUGUUCCUCCAUGACUUUUCAUGACUUGAUAGCCCAUUUCUUUUUAGCUCUGAAUAAGACGCCAUUGUCUAGAUGUACCUCAAAGACAUGUUUUAUUACAAGAAGAAAUACAGAAUAAAAGACACUGAUGAUCAUAUACCAAUUAAUAAUGCUUAAUAUUUGUUGACAAAUUUCAUGUUCUAAGUGCUUGAGGGUUUAGGUAGAAAAAUGUGUGUUACUAUUGGACUUUCCUCAUGACACCAAUUUUAGAUUUGUUUUAUAAUUUUUUAAAACCUAGCUUGUUGUGUUUGGUAAUUGAGAGACUAGGUAUUUGGUGAAGUCAAAGUUUGUAGCUAGGUUCUUCCUAAUUGCAAAGCUUAUGCUUAUAGUCAGUUCACCAUAUACAUUGUAAAAAAAAUACGAUUUAAUGAGCAAGUUAGACUUGUAGAUGAGACAAGUAAAUGGAAUGAAUAAUGACUGUCUUA
rnacentral:lncRNA from 1 species